CUGUGCAGCCGGGAAACAGCGCCGCGCGCUGCCGGAGGAGCGGGCUCAGGCUCGGGUUAGCUUGUCCUUUCCCUUCCGGGCUCCGGCACCGAGGAGAAGAUCCGAUCGUCCAGCCGAGUUCGCUGUAGAGGAGGAGGAAGGGAAGGAGAGGGAGGAGGCAGGAGAGAAAGGGGAAGGGAGCGGGAGAAAGGCAGAGGGAGCCCAGGAGAGAGAGACUCCGGGAUCCCGAUCCAGCGCCUACAAUCUGCUCCCCAGAUCAGCUUCCUUCGUGGUCGCAAAAAUGUGGCUCGGUUUUUCCCCUCCUCCUUAAGACGAUUUCCAUAGUAACCUGCUCCAGUGAGCUCCAGAGCGCAAACCUGAGGAUUUUCGCGAGGCGCCCCUGCUCAGGAUGACAUCUGACAGUUCAGUUUCUUGUUCCAAAAAUAAUGUGUUUUGUAAGGGUGAUACAUAUUCUAAACCCAAAUAAGCUACAUUUUUCUAUUUUUAAAAGGAAACUCUCAGUCAUCCUAGAGUGAGAUUUCUCUCUUCAAAAUGUUUGUCAUUUUCUCUUUUUGAUAUUUGUUACUGGACUGGAUAGAACUGGUUUUCCCCUCCUCUUUUUUGGUCCAAGAAGCCCAUACAAGUUCUCUUGUUUAAUUAUCUCUAAUUGAUCCUAAUUCAGCCCUGUGGUUCUGAGUCACUGCAAUGAGUUGAUGUUAAUUAAGGCCCAGAGGCUUCCCAAGGUCCAGACUUGCUGAAAGUGAGAACCUUUCUACAGGAGAGUGGUGAGGCAGGAUUUUAUCACUAGGGUUGAAAUAUUUUAGUUGUAUUAAGCAUCUGACUAAAUGCAGACUUCAGUACUGAAACCUGAUUGAAACCUGUCAGUUAUUUCUUAAUCUGGACAUAGGUGUUAUGGAUUAUCUAGAUUUAGGUAAUUCCAAGCAAAUCCUUAUUUUAAAAAUUAACUUGUUCUACAAUGAAACAUCUUGCCUGCUUUCUUUUUAUUUUGUAGCCAUGCUUCAUUAUAAUUAUUGUAGCUCCAAAAGAAAUGGAAACCUUUCUCCUAGGAGGUUGCAUCCUAGGAGGUUGGGGUUGGAAGAUGGAAGACCACUUCUCCUUAUCCAGAUAUAAAAUUUGUGAUUUUUUUUGCCUCUCAAAAAUAGUCAUUAUGUUCUCAAGUUUUCUUGGGACCAUGAUAUAUCAUAAGCAAACACUAUUCAGAUUAAUGAUUCUUCGGUAAAUUUGUUAUAAGAUUAUAUACACUAUGGAUAAAACCAGCAUUUCUAUGUUAGGAGAGCUCCUUUACUUACAUUCUUUUGUCUGCAUAUUUGUUUUUUUUUUUUUUUGGUUUUUUUAAAUUCAUCCAUUAUAAUCAAUUCAAGAGUAUCAGAAUAGAGAGUGGGUAAAGAAAUGAGAAACUAAUGGAAAAUAUUCACAAUUCAAUUUGUGACUGUGAAUGUAUAUUAAAUAUUGUAUUUGAACCAGAAAAGAAGCUGUGAGUUCUGAGAUGUUUCACUUUUUUAGCUUUCUACCUAAUUCAUCUGAUACCAGAACUCACAUAUUGAACGCUUAAUAGAAAACUUACAGAAAACUUCAGGUUCUGUUUGGUGAAAACAAGGUCUAUUUGUAAAUGGACAAAGUCUUCAUGAAGAUAGGCAGGAAUAAUCUCUUUGUAUUAUUCCCCCUUCCAGCAAAAGCCAAUUUUUCCUCCUCCUGUUCUAGUGGAAAGUGACAAUACUAUAUUAUUCUUUUUCUUGGCCUCUGGUCCUGGAUUUCCAAAGAGCUUUAUCCUGAACUAGAUUUCAAAAGAUUCUAAUGGAUUAUUAGAGUUGGACAUGGACAAACUAGAAGUUGUAGAUAUCUAAGUAAAAUGCUAUAGAAUUCAUAUUUUUCCUG
ensembl:lncRNA